AUCUGUGCAUCCUGCCUGUGAUUGUCAUCCAGUCUUUCCUCCUGUUCUUUUGGUUGGAGCUUUGCAAGAUGGGUCUGCCUGACGACAGACAUGGAAUCCAUCUGCUCUGCAAGGGACUUUUCUCUGGCUGUGCAAAAGGACAAAAGUCGGCUCGAAGCUGUCGAGAGCAGUGAGAAAUAUCCAUGGGAAGAAUGAACUUGG